UAGCGAAGGGGCAAGCGUUGUUCGGAAUUACUGGGCGUAAAGGGCGCGUAGGCGGCUUAUCAAGUCAGGGGUGAAAUCCUGGAGCUCAACUCCAGAACUGCCUUUGAUACUGAAGAUCUUGAGUCCGGGAGAGGUGAGUGGAACUGCGAGUGUAGAGGUGAAAUUCGUAGAUAUUCGCAAGAACACCAGUGGCGAAGGCGGCUCACUGGCCCGGUACUGACGCUGAGGUGCGAAAGCGUGGGAGCAACAGG
rnacentral:rRNA from 1 species